rnacentral:rRNA from 1 species
GAUCGAGUUUGAUCCUGGCUCAGGAUGAACGCUAGCGGCAGGCUUAACACAUGCAAGUCGAGGGGUAUAGUUCUUCGGAACUAGAGACCGGCGCACGGGUGUGUAACGCGUAUGCAAUCUACCUUUUACAGAGGGAUAGCCCAGAGAAAUUUGGAUUAAUACCUCAUAGUAUUACGACUCGGCAUCGAGAUGUAAUUAAAGUCACAACGGUAAAAGAUGAGCAUGCGUCCCAUUAGCUAGUUGGUAAGGUAACGGCUUACCAUGGCAACGAUGGGUAGGGGUCCUGAGAGGGAGAUCCCCCGACACUGGUACUGAGACACGGACCAGACUCCUACGGGAGGCAGCAGUAGGGAAUAUUGCACAAUGGGGCGAAAGCCUGAUGCAGCGACGCCGCG